rnacentral:rRNA from 1 species
AUGGGGGCGCGGAGGACGCCAUGCGGCUGGAGACUGCUCUUCUUCCUUGGGCUGCUUGCCGAGGUCCAUGGCUCUUCGUCUCCAGGGGUUAAGGCAGUAGCCGAUGCCCUCCCUCCUACCUCUAGGCUCUUCCCCGCUGAAGUGCGCACUCUUCGACGGAUCGCGGCGAAUUUGGGGAUAUCGCAUUGGAACUUCUCCACCAAUCACUGUGGCUCCGGCGGCGGAUUGGAGUGUGACUGCUCCUUCAACAACAGUACAUUAUGCCAUGCCACUGAGAUAUUCCUCAAGGGCCAGAACUUCACCGGCCGGCUCCCACCAGAUUUUGCUGAUCUCCCUAAUCUCCUCCAGCUAGACCUAAGCAGGAGCUUGUUCCAUGGCACGGUGCCUGACCGGUGGGCCCGGAUGAAGUUGCAAGGACUGUCACUAAUGGGAAACAGAUUGUCAGGGCCUUUUCCCAUGGCUCUUACGAGAAUCACAACCUUGACUAGCCUGAGCAUUGAAGCAAAUGAGUUCCGUGGGCAAAUCCCAGCUGAAAUUGGGCAUCUCAAGCAACUGGAGAAGCUGAUAAUAUCAACCAACGAGUUCACUGGACCCCUGCCGGCUGCUCUUUCCUUGCUGACCAAUUUGACCGACUUAAGGAUUUCUGGAAACAAUUUAUCUGGGAGAGUUCCUGAUUUCUUGGCUAAACUGACAAAGCUUGGAAAACUGCAAAUCGAAGGAUCUUUGCUGGAAGGGCCUAUUCCCCCGGGCUUAUCCAAAUUGACAAACCUUUCUGAUCUGAGAAUUAGUGAUCUGAGAGGCAGUGGAUCAGUUUUCCCGGAUCUAAGAGGAAUGCAAUCGAUGAAAGCAUUGGUCCUUAGGAAUUGUUCAAUCAGCGGGGGAAUCCCUUCUUACAUAUGGAGCAUGGAAAAUCUCACGCAUCUGGAUCUGAGCUUUAAUGAACUGACCGGAAAAGUAACAGAUUCGUUCACUAAUAGGGGAACCGUACAUUACAUAUAUCUAACUGGAAAUUCACUCACUGGGAACAUACCUGAUUGGCUAUUGCGAAGCAACAGCAUUGUGGACCUCUCUUUUAAUAAUUUCACGAUUGGGAGCUCAGGUCGUCCUACUCAAUGUCAAGGGAGCGCCAAUCUAGUGGAGAGUUAUUCACCUGAAAUGAACAGUUUAAAUAAUGUCCAGCCAUGCUUGAAGAAGAACUUCCCAUGUGCUUCGAAUGGACAAUACAGAUCAUCCUUGCAUAUCAAUUGUGGAGACAAAGAAGCAAUUGUCAAUGGCGUAAAAUAUGAAGGUGACACCACACCAAAAGGUGCUUCCAUGUUGUAUUUAAGCCCAGACUCAAACUGGGCAUUCAGCAGCACUGGGAACUUCAUGGACGACAACAUCAAUGAUGACAACUACAUUGCCUCAAACACAUCAAAACUGACCAUGCCCAACUCCAAGCUGUAUGCAAAAGCGCGCCUUUCUCCUCUUUCGCUCACAUAUUAUGGGCUUUGUAUGCAUAAUGGGAGCUACACAGUUAAACUCCAUUUUGCCGAAAUUAUAUUCACCAAUGACAGAACAUACCGCAGCCUUGGCAAAAGAAAAUUCAAUGUGUUCAUACAGGGAAGAAUGGUGCUAGAGGAUUUUGAUAUUGAGCAAUCUGCUGGUGGGGCUGGAAAGCUAGUCAUCAAGACUUUCACAGCAUAUGUCACAAAUCAUACACUGAAGAUUCAAUUCUAUUGGGCAGGAAGAGGGACAACAGGCAUUCCAUAUAGAGGAUUUUACGGCCCUCUAAUAUCUGCAAUAUCAGUAACUCCAAACUUCCAGAUUCCUUUGGCUGUUGAACCUCCCCAAACUGGCAGUAGCACGAAAAUUUCAAGGACAUCUAAAGCUUUGCUGAUUGGAGGCCCAAUUAUUGCGAUAUUCACUGCUCUUGUUGUUGGUAUCUGGAUUAAGCGACGACAGAAGAACUUGGUGAAUCAAGAUCCCCGGGCACUUGACCUCCAAAUUGGCUCAUUUACCUUGAGACAAAUCAAAUCAGCAACGAGAAACUUUGAUCCAGCCAACAAGAUUGGCGAAGGUGGUUUUGGUUCGGUUUACAAGGGUUUGUUGUCCGAUGGCACCAUUAUUGCUGUCAAACAGCUAUCAUCAAAGUCCAAGCAAGGGAAUCGUGAAUUUGUGAAUGAGAUUGGCAUGAUAUCUGCACUCCAGCAUCCAAACCUUGUCAGGCUGUAUGGCUGUUGUACAGAAGGAAACCAGCUCUUGCUAGUUUACGAGUACAUGGAAAAUAAUUGCCUUGCACGUGCUCUCUUUGUUGAAGAAUAUAGACUGGCAUUGGAUUGGCCAACGAGACGUAAGAUUUGCCUGGGGAUAGCAAGGGGUCUGGCAUAUCUGCAUGAGGAGUCUGCAAUAAGGAUUGUGCACCGAGAUAUCAAGGCUAGCAAUAUACUGCUUGACAAAGAUUUGGAUGCUAAGAUCUCAGAUUUUGGUCUAGCAAAGCUUAAUGAAGAUGGCCACACCCACAUAAGUACAAAAGUAGCUGGAACAAUUGGAUACAUGGCUCCUGAGUAUGCAAUGCGUGGUUAUUUGACAGACAAAGCUGAUGUUUACAGUUUUGGGGUUGUUGCUUUGGAAAUCGUGAGUGGAAAAAGCAACACAAACUACAGGCCAAAGGAAGAUUUUGUUUAUCUUCUCGAUUGGGCUUGUGUUUUACAUGAGAGAGGAACUCUCCUGGAGCUGGUAGAUCCAGACUUAGGAUCCAAUUACUCAACAGAAGAGGCACUCCUCAUGCUGAAUGUGGCUCUCUUAUGCACCAACGCAGCACCGACACUUAGACCAAAGAUGUCCAACGCGGUGAGCCUGCUCGAGGGCCAUACCCCCCUGCAACCCUUCCUAUCAGAACUCAGCCUUGCUGCAAACAGCCUGAGCUCAAGUGGUCUACGCAGAAACUUCUGGGAAAAUCCAAGUGAGAGCCAGAGCAUAACGGCACAAGCAUCAUGUAACAACACCAGUGACUUGUCAUCUUUAGAUGUUGAUGGUAGCUUGAGACAUUUUGCGACUUAA